UACGUAGGGUGCGAGCGUUAAUCGGAAUUACUGGGCGUAAAGCGUGCGCAGGCGGUUUUGUAAGACAGGCGUGAAAUCCCCGGGCUCAACCCGGGAACUGCGUCCGAUACUGGCAGGCUUGAAUCCGGGAGAGGGAUGUGGAAUUCCAGGUGUAGCGGUGAAAUGCGUAGAUAUCUGGAGGAACACCGGUGGCGAAGGCGGCAUCCUGGACCGGUAUUGACGCGGAGGCGCGAAAGCCAGGGGAGCAAACGGG
rnacentral:rRNA from 1 species